rnacentral:rRNA from 1 species
UGAGGAAUAUUGGUCAAUGGACGCAAGUCUGAACCAGCCAAGUAGCGUGCAGGAUGACGGCCCUAUGGGUUGUAAACUGCUUUUAUAUGGGGAUAAAGUGGGGAACGUGUUCCCUUUUGCAGGUACCAUAUGAAUAAGGACCGGCUAAUUCCGUGCCAGCAGCCGCGGUAAUACGGAAGGUUCGGGCGUUAUCCGGAUUUAUUGGGUUUAAAGGGAGCGUAGGCCGUUUGGUAAGCGUGUUGUGAAAUGUAGGAGCUCAACUUUUAGAUUGCAGCGCGAACUGGCAGACUUGAGUGCGCACAACGUAGGCGGAAUUCAUGGUGUAGCGAUGAAAUGCUUAGAUAUCAUGACGAACUCCGAUUGCGAAGGCAGCUUACGGGAGCGCAACUGACGCUAAAGCUCGAAGGUGCGGGUAUCGAACAGG